CAUUGGAUUUAGAGUAGUUUGCUACACAACAAAAGCUAACUGAUAUGUACAGUAAUGACCCCUGAACUUUUUGUACAGCAAUUAAUAUAAUACCUACCACAUAAAACUAAUAUGCACUUAACAGAUGUUCUUAAUAAUGUUGGAGAUUUCUUCUCAUUCUUCCUUUCCCCCUGAAUAGUUUCACAACAUAAACAUAAUUAUUAAAAUAUUUUCAAUGUUUGUUACAUUAUUUUUAUCACUGUUGAGUUUGUUUUGUUUUGUUUUCCUAAACCGGCUUCUUUGAAAUCUUCAGGAAUAACCUUCAGAUAUGUUAGUUACAGUUUUACUCCCACAAACCAUGCUGAUUAGUUAACUGUCUAUUUGGAAAACAAUAGUCAAAACUGUUCUUCAGCACUUCAUGAUUUUUUUUUUUUGAAGAAAUAUAUUCCUGUCAGAGAAAUUGAACAAGUUUACUGUGGAAGGUUGUGGAAUCUACUUUGGAAGAAAGAUUUCUCUCCUCUUUGGACACAUCUAAAGGUGGGGAAGAGGCAGAAGGAGAGCAUGAGCAGGAAUCUCAAGCAGGAUCCAUCCAGCACAGACCAACAGGGCAUUCAGUCUAACCAUGAGAUCAUGACCUGAAUGGAAAUCAAGAGUCAGAGGCUUAACCACCUGAGUCACACAGGCACCCUGUAGAUUCUACAUAUUAUCCUUGGAAACCACCACUGUUUCUACAAAUUUGAUUAUUGCAGGUGCCUCACAGUCCCUUGUCCCUUGGAUUCUUGGACCCAGUUGGAUGAAGCACAAUCUGGAAGAGACAGGUUCUUAUAUGAAAGAUAAACUACUGGAGGGGUUUGGAAUAUGAAUACUUGUGGAAAGCCAAAGCUGAAUGAUCCAAUGACUUUGCGAUGCUAAAGGGAGUUUAUGACAAACCCAUGUUACAACUGAAUAAAAUCCAGUUGCUUCCACUGGCCCCUCACCUUGUCUUGACUUCUAGGGGCUCCCUGUUCCCUGACCUCUCACUUCUCUGAGCCUCAAAUUCAUGGUUAGUUUGGUAGUUGGCUUUGAACUCCUGAUCCUACUUAUUUUUGUGCCAGGAUCUAUCUGUGUUGCUUCUCUCAGUUCUGGCUGCUCAGUCUAACUCACUGCAAUCCCACUGCAAUCAACAUGGCUGGUGUUUCACACUUUGACAUACUUCCCACGAGGAUGUGGCCCUACAAUAAGGAAAGAAUUUGCCCCAACACCCAUUGACCCAUACCAUGCAAUGCCUAUUGUUGUGGCUGAAUACAGAGGUUACCCAAUGACAUUCAGGUAAUUCUAGCAGCUACUAUUUAGGUUGAUUCACCAGAAAGUUCCAACAGGCCCUUUAAAACAUGAUAAGAUGGCAUGGACUGUUCCAGUUACAUAAUGUUCCAGUUACAUUGGGUGGGAAGAUCUAAGUUAGAAUUAAUUACUGGUUCUUUCAGUCAUUAGCUGGGAACCAAUUUAAGACAGCUUUAUGCUCAUACCUAUGUGCUGGAAGUUACAUAUUAAGACAAGCCUUGACUAUCAAGUUAAAUAAAUAUCAGGCUGAAGGAAAUUAAGGGUAUAUAUCAUGGUAUGUACCAUGGACAAGUAAACUAAGUAUUUUGACUGAAAUAAAAACAUACUUUUGCUAUCCCAGUCAAACUACAUGCUAAAUAGACUGAGAAGAAGAAAAUAGCAUCGUACAAAUCUAUGGCUUGGAAACUGGAUUGGCAUCAACACAACUAAGGAAAUCCAAGCCAGAUUCGAGAUGUGCUGAAAACCAAAUUUCCUAAAGGCCUGGGAGACUUUGGCAUGUAGUACUGAGCUGUUAAAUUCUAGAGCGAUUUCAUUUGUGCCAGCUACUUACCAUCACCAGCAUCAAACUUGCAUAACUACACUACUGUUUUACUCCUGAAAAUGAACUUUUGUUGGCCUGAAUAUGUGCAGAGGGUAAAUGGCAAGAAGAGAUCUGAUCCGCUAUGUGGAAAGCUAAAGGGAAACAUUCGUAGGAGAAGCCUCCAGCAUAAAGAACUCCUCAAAGACAUUCAGCAGAACGAUUUCCGUGUACAAGAUAGCCAUUACCUGGCCUGAAACAACAGACUUAGCAGACUCACUUCAUAUGAGGCCCUCUGAAACAACAGUGAGGAACAAAGAUCUCCCAAAGAUCAUAAAGUGAAGAGUGAUGAUCACAGGCAGCAACAUGGGGACAGAUAAUUGCUGCUCUCUGGUAUAAAAAACACAACUUUCAAUACAAUGUUUGCAGUGGAUGCUGUUGUGAACCACCCAGAUGCCCCUUUCAAGGCUGAGGUGUUCUUUCUCUCAGCUGCCUGGUACUGGGGCUGCUGUCUGCUCACAGCCCAGGAGCUGCUGAAGAGAGCUGCCUUUCCCAAGAUCAUGCCCCUUCCUGGGACAGCCCACAUCCUGGGGCUGUUGAUCAGGGGAUACAAAGUCCUGUCUCCCUUGUCUCUAAGAAACCCUGAGGGGCCAUCCCAAGUAGAUAGGUCCCCUGUAGGUGUGUGGGUGGCCUCUAUUAUAUCUGCCUCAGUUUCCCUCUCACUCUGCCCUUUUAUCCUGCUCCUCUCCUGCUCCAACAAGUAUUGUUCCUGAACAGUCCCCUCAGUAAACCUUUUGCAGGCAAAUCUCCAUCUCAAUCCCUUUCCCCAGGGAACCAACCUAAGACAUACCCAUCUGAUCCUAACACCACAUGGUGGAACAAACAUGAUCAACACAUGCUUGUUCCCGCCUUCCUUUCUCCUACUCCUCUAAAGAGGAGUCAGGCUUUGCCUAUUCCCUAUCUUGGCCUCCGGCCUCCUCCAAGUAGCAUCCUGCUUGGCAGAGUCUUGACAGAAGGAUAAAGGUGGUGGGGGCAAGGGUUAGAGUGCUGGCAAAGAGGUGCAGGAGAAGCUGUGGCAAAUAAAGAAACUGGGGUUGAAUGGGGAUUUUAAGAAAUACCGUUAUGCUCAACCCAACCCUUUGACGGCAUUCAAGCAAAAGAAGCACAGAGCUUGGAUUGUUGGGAAGUUAAUUUUUGUGACUGGACUGCCAUUCCACUCUGGGCUUGGGUGACAGUGGUCACAAUUUUUAAGCUUUUCCUGUGAAUAUAGGCAAUCUCAUCUUUAGAUGUUAGUGGCGAUGCCAGCAGAACUGUGUUUCAGGAGUGCUUUAAGAUGGGGAAUAGUUUUACUAUGUCUAAUCCACACUCUUUGAACGCUAUGAAUUUAAGUCCACAAAAAUAGAAUUAUAGGUUUCAGGGCUUUAAACAAAAAUGUUUGUAACAAUAGAAAAAUAAUUAAACUAUUGUUUCAGCCUUUAUUACGAGAGACAUAUGAACAACUAACUAUUAACACAUUCUUCCAAAACAUCUACACGUGUCAGUCAUGUGCAUGUGGGAGCUAAGGACAAAGGGCAGCACACCCUAAUGGUAUAACUGUCUGUCAGAAUUUUAUGUGCAGAAGACAGUCUGUGACAGGCCUUUUAGAUUCUCUAAGUUACGAUUUUUGUUCUAAUGCCCAAUACCGCUGGCACAUAAGUGGCAUCGCUGAAGAGUCUGGCCAGGCUGGAGUACACGCAAGAGCACCUGUGGAGAUGACAAGAAGGGGUCCCUCUCAUGUUAGGCCUUCUCAGCCCGGGACUACGUCCUAACUAGACUCUCUUGAAGUGGGUUUGAGUUGCUUGUGAAUCACGGCAUCCUGAGUUACAGGAUGGAUUUUCUAUUUUCUUUCUUUUUUCUAUUGAGAAUUGCCAGCAGUUUUUCUUAAGGGUAGAAAAUUUCCAAGAACAAGCCUUAAGAAUACAAACAAGUAUUUUAAUGAUGCAUUUAGGACAAGUUUUCCAAACACAAUAUUUUCUUUGGGGUAUAGUUCCAAUAGCUGGUAGUGAUCAUGAGAUGUUAGCAAUCUAGGAAUCAGAGGCAUUAUGUUCCAAAUCUACCAAGAUGCUCCAACCUGUCAUCCUUAGUCAUGUACUUUCAAGGCCUAAGAGACAAGCUUUACUCUUGAGGAUCUCUGUUCUUGAGUUCAGUUGUUAAAUCCAGGGAUAAAAGACUAAUUGGGGAAAUCCAAAACAAGAAGAUUAAGCAUCCUUCAGAGGAAAGGCUAGGGUGUGGUGGGUUGCCCUUGUCCCUUCUGUGUCCAGCCCAACACAGAGAGCUGUUGGGCUGUCCUGAAGCCAGUGCCAUUUCUGUCCUGUGCCAGUGCUCCUGGCAACCUUUGAAGGUGAUCAUCAGCAAUCAAUACC